UGUCUUGCAAACAAGAGGGGAAUAGGAAAUUAUCUUGUCACUCGCAACCAACACAACAAUAAUUCGUCGCUUCCGUUCGCGACACACUGAGAGCCGCUGGCUGUCACAAACGAAGUAGAGGAGACAGAGUUGUGGUGUCUGCCAUGUCCGCGGCAUCUGGGGAGUGCUGCUCGUGACACAAGGAAGGAACAAGAACGGCUAGUGCAGACGUUCCGGUGUUCGGAAGGAACAAACGUAACCGGAACCACAGAGCGAGGCGCUCCACAACAGAUAAAUCGCCGACAUCGAUACCGCCGUGGGCAGUAAUUCGUCAAAGACAGAAAACCCGUUUUCUCAAACGGUUGUUGGCGGAACACGCCAAGGGAAGGCGGCAACACAUUUCGAGGCAAGCGGUGACAAUUCCCUCACCAUAAGCAAAGAAGCUCGGAUAGGAUAGAAGACUGAAAGGAUUGGCAACAGCACGGACCGAACCCCUCAACGAUCCCACAGCCACGCGGAACGUGAUCGGCAGAGACGAUUUGAACGAGUCAAGGCGACACGCAUAAGAGGGAACGACGGUACCUUCAAGCAAAGGUCGCAGCUCAACGGAAAAGCGAAUUGCUCCUCCAGAUUGUUGUCCAGGUCAAGCAGAUCGCCAUCGACGGUAGGACGAACGAUUGCCACCCAAAAGAGCCUCCACUAGGAGGCUUUUGUUUUGGACUUGAAUUCGUCGGGUACGUCCAACCUGAUGUCGUUUUCGGUUAUUGCUGGGUCGAACCUAGUUCUGCCCCGGAUCCGCUCUAACAGCUGUCAAAACGUUCGGUUAUUCGUUCAGGUUGGAUCGCGAUCCGCACCAGAUCCGACCCAAAACGAACGCUCUGCCGAUUUAUCGAGAUCGAACCUAGGUUCACCAAUACAUUCGAACACAAACUGUCAAACAGGUGUUUAUGUUUACGCUAAAGGAAAAUGAAAACAUGAAAGACACGGAAGGGUGCGGAUGGGUAUUUGACUUUUAAUCGUUUUUGUUUCAUUUGUUGAAUUUAUCAAUUUUGUUGCUGUCUUGCACGUAAAAAUGGAUUAUUUUAAUUGUGUGUUGUCUUCAAGUUUCUCUGAUGGUGAAAUGGAUUCAGAUACCGACAUA